rnacentral:misc_RNA from 1 species
UAACACUCCACACUGUCCAGGAACGUGUGACCAUCAUAGCCUCCAAGGACGUAGAUUCUCCCCUGGUGGACAGUGAUCCCCAGGGCACUUCGCCGGUGCUUCAUGGGGGCUACGAAAGUCCACGUCUCUGUUUCCACAUCGUAGCGCUCCACGCUGUUCAGCUGGUCCUGACCAUCAUAGCCCCCAGCAGCAUAGAUACAGUUGUGCAGGACGCAGACGCCUGCCCCGCUUCGGAUGGUGUUCAUUGCUGUGAUCAUUCGCCACUCG